UCCUACGGGAGGCAGCAGUGGGGAAUUUUGGACAAUGGGGGCAACCCUGAUCCAGCAAUGCCGCGUGUGUGAAGAAGGCCUUCGGGUUGUAAAGCACUUUUGUCCGGAAAGAAAUGGCUCUGGUUAAUACCUGGGGUCGAUGACGGUACCGGAAGAAUAAGCACCGGCUAACUCCGUGCCAGCAGCCGCGGUA
rnacentral:rRNA from 1 species